rnacentral:rRNA from 1 species
CGUUAACGCUGGCGGUAGGCCUAACACAUGCAAGUCGAACGGCAGCACAGUAAGAGCUUGCUCUUACGGGUGGCGAGUGGCGGACGGGUGAGGAAUACAUCGGAAUCUACUUUUUCGUGGGGGAUAACGUAGGGAAACUUACGCUAAUACCGCAUACGACCUACGGGUGAAAGCAGGGGAUCUUCGGACCUUGCGCGAUUGAAUGAGUCGAUGUCGGAUUAGCUAGUUGGCGGGGUAAAGGCCCACCAAGGCGACGAUCCGUAGCUGGUCUGAGAGGAUGAUCAGCCACACUGGAACUGAGACACGGUCCAGACUCCUACGGGAGGCAGCAGUGGGGAAUAUUGGACAAUGGGCGCAAGCCUGAUCCAGCCAUACCGCGUGGGUGAAGAAGGCCUUCGGGUUGUAAAGCCCUUUUGUUGGGAAAGAAAAGCAGCAGGUUAAUACCCCGCUGUUCUGACGGUACCCAAAGAAUAAGCACCGGCUAACUUCGUG